rnacentral:lncRNA from 1 species
CUGGGGGUGCUGGGGGUACCGGAAGGAGCUGGGGACAGUGGGGGUACUGGGGAUGAUGGGGGCACUGGGGGGGGGACUGGGAGGCACUGGGCGCACUGGAGAUACUGGGAGGUGCUGGGGACACCGGAGGGUGCUGGGAGGCUCUGGGAGCACUGGGAAUACUGGGAGCACUGAGGAUAAUGACAACACUGGGGAUAAUGGGAGCACUGGAGGUACUGGGAGGCACUGGGAAUACUGGGAACACUGGGGAUAACAGCAACACAGGGAACAGUGGAAGCACUGGGGUUACUGGGAGGCACUGGGAGCACUGGGAAUACUGGGAGCACUGGGAAUAACGGCAACACAGGGAACAACAGAAUCACUGGGGGUACUGGGAGCCACUGGGAGCACUGGGAAUACUGGGAGCACUGGGAAUAACAGCAACACAGGGAACAACAGAAUCACUGGGGUUACUGGGAGGUGCUGGGAGCACUGGGAAUACUGGGAGCACUGAGGAUAAUGCUAACACUGGGGAUAAUGGGAGCACUGGAGGUACUGGGAGGCACUGGGAAUACUGGGAGCACUGGGAAUAACAGGAAUGCUGGCGAUAACACGAGCACUGGAGCUACUGGGAGCUACUGGGAGGUACUGGGAGCACUGGGAACACUGGGAACACUAAGAAUAACAGCAAUGCUGGCGAUACCACGAGCACUGGCGCUACUGGGAGCUACUGGGAGCUACUGGGAGCACUGGAUUCACCGGGGGGGGGGCUCUUUUUCCCCUCUAACCCCCCCUGUCCCCCCCCCAGCUGAGCUACGCCGAGGCCCUGCGCCGCCCGGCGCCCGAGCUGGCCACCAUCCACGUCUCGCUGGCCACCACCUUCGGCGACCUGCGGCAGCCGGCGCGCGCCGAGCACCACUACCGCCAGGAGCUGGCACUGCACCGCGGAGACCCCCUGGAGGAGGGGAGGACGUGGCUCAGCAUCGCCGUGGCCAAGGAGGAAGCCGGCGAGCCCGGUGCCGCGGUGGAGCAGUGCCUGGCCACGGCGCUGGAGCGCGCCGAGGAGGCCGGGGAGCUGCGGCUGCAGGUGAGGGCACGGGGGGGGCGCGGGGGUGUGGUGCCCACACGGGGAUGGGGUGCCAAACUGGUGCCGCGGUGCCAAACUGGUGCCAAACUGGUGCUGUGGUGCUGCGCUGUCAAGCUGGUGCCACGGUGCUGAGCUGGUGCCAUCCUGGUGCCGUGGUGCCAACCCGGUGUUGCAGUGCCAUGGUGCCACGGUGCCAACCUGGUGCUGACCCGGUGCCACGGUGCUGAGCUGGUGUCACGGUGCCGUCACGGUGCCAACCCGGUGCCGUGGUGCCAACCCGGUGCUGACCCGGUGCCAUGGUGCUGAUGCGGUGCCGACCCGGUGAUGUGGUUGCUGAC